ensembl:lncRNA novel transcript
AUGUUCAAUAAAUAGUUAUGGAAUGUUUUCUUUUAUCUGAUUAGUCAUAUUUAUAGUAGAUUCACUAUUCACUAUUUAGAUUCACUAUUUAUCAAUAACCUGCACUCAAUAGUUUUGGUGCAUUCUUCUAAUUCUGUUUAUUUGUUUCCUGAUAAUAGAAGUAUCACAUGCAUUCUAUAGAUAAUUUGAAAGUAUAAAUGAGUAUUAAAAAGAAAGCAACCACAUAUCAUCCCCCAAACUGAGAUUAUCAUUAUUAACAUUUUAGUUUAUUUUCAAGCAUUUCCUAAGUAUAUUUUAGUUAUUUAAUCAUAUUAUACAGUAUUCAAUAUAUCUUUUAUUUUUAUAGAAGUAUUUUCUGUAUUAUAAAACAUGCUACAAAAUGUUUUGAUGGAUAUACAGCAUUUCAAUAUAUCAAAGUCAUAAUUGCCCUAAUCCUUUCUGAUAUCAUUUGCAUCUGUGUCCCCAGCAAAUCUUACACUCAAUUGUAAUCCCCCAUGUUGGAGGGGGACCUGGUAGGAGGGGAUUGGAUCAUGGGGGCAGAGUUCUAGUGAAUGACUUAGCACCAUCCCUGCUUGGUACUACAUACAAUAUCAUUCUAUCACUUUUAAAGUGUGCUGUGAGACCUCACACUUUUAAAAGUUGUUUAAAAGUAUGUAGCACCUCCCACUUCUCUCUCUUGCUCCUGCUCCAGCCAUGUCAGAUGGGUCUGCUUCCACUUCGCCUUUGGCCAUCAGUAAAAGCUCCCUGAGGCUCCCCAGAAGCAGAUGCUGCUGUGGUUCUUGUACAGCCUGCAGAACCAUGAACCAAGUAAACCUUUCUUCUUUAUGAAUUACCCAGUCUCAGGUAUUUCUUUUUUUCUUCUGCACAAAUUAACCUUAGCAGCUUAAGGUGUUUAUUUAUAGCAAUGUGAGAGCAGAGUAACGCACUUUCCCAAUCAUAAGACACUUAGAUUGUUUCCAAUCAUCACGAUCUAUAAUGCUGUCAUGAGUACCUUUGUACUAAAUCUUGUAAGCAUCUCUAAUUCUUUUCUUAUAUUAGAGUUUUGGAAGAUGAACUACAGAGUCAAAGAAUACAAACAAUUUUAAGACUUUUAAUAUGUAUUGUCGAGUUGAUUUACGGUUAAGUUUUACCAACUUAAACACCCACAAGCACUUGCUUCACUGCACGGUCAUCAGCAUUGUAGCUGGAAAUGGGAGAGCCUGGGCUUCAUUCCUGGCCUACUAAAUCCAUAAGCAAGAGGAAAAAACAACACAAUCAAGGGACAAACUACAUCGUGUGAGGCCAGCUCAGGCUGCUACUACUCUGUCAUCCUAAGAGAAGAAUCUCUGAAAUUUUGACAGCAUGUGGAAAUAUUCCCACUGAUUAUUGGAUUAUGAAGAUGGAGAAGAGUAUUUUAAAGGAGUUUUGUAGGAGCUGCAGGAGAGGAUUCAGGUAUAUUUAUAUUCAUAGUAUAUGUGUAAUGCUUUGUUCCUGCUCCUUCAUUACUUCUAUUAAGAAGAGACAAGGAGAGAGACAUGGAAAUGACUAAGGCACCAAAGGAAAGGCAUUUUUUACAUUUCAAAGUCACAGGUAAAAAACAUUUAUCAUUUUCAUGUGGAAACAUUCUUCCAAGCUGUAACUAAUAAUGGUCUCUCCUACUAUUUCCUCCCACUUCUGCAGCUGCUAAAACACCUUUGCCACCAGCUCCGACAAUCAAACCAUGCCUUUGGAUUUCUUCAGUUUCUAAAGGGGAACAUCUUUUUAAAGCCUUUGUUGUAUUAAUUAAGAAUCCAGGGCCAAGCCCGUGGCUCAUGCCCAUAAUCCCAGCACUUUGUGAGGCCAAGGCAGGUAGAUCACCUGAGGUCGGGAGUUCGAGACCAGCCUGACCAACAUGGAGAAACCCCGUAUCUAUUAAAAAUACAAAAUUAGCCAGGCAUAGUGGCAUAUGCCUGUAAUCGCAGCUAUUCAGGAGGCCGAGGCAGGAGAAUCGCUUGAAUAUGGGAGGUGGAGGCUGUGGUGAGCCGGGAUCGUGCCAUUGCACUCCAGCCUGGGUGACAAGAGCGAAACUCUGUCACCAAAAAAAAAAAAAAAUUCAGUGGCUGGCAUAGAGUCAAGAAACUCUAUGAACAGAAGAUAACUGACUUAGCAGCAGCAGAGUAAGCCUCCAAAAAGAAGCAAGAUCUUUGAAAGUGGCUGGGAGAGCUCCCAACUGAAUAGGCUUCAGCCUCCCACUGUCAGUACUUAAGGUUCAAAUGCCUCAGGCUGCGGGAGGGGACGGGGUGGAGACUGGCCAUGUCGGAGGUGACCUGGAGUCUGCUGCAGCUCUGGGGCGCCAGUUUUAGGAGAGGCGCCAACUUCGACUUUUGGGGCCAGCCGGUGGAGGCGAUAGAUGAGUAUCAGAUAUUAGCAAGACAUCUACAAAAAGAGGCCCAAGCUCAACACAAUAAUUCUGAAUUCACAGAAGAACAAAAGAAAACCAUAGGCAAAAUUGCAACAUGCUUAGAAUUGUGAAGUGCAGCUUUACAGUCCACACAGUCUCAAGAAGAAUUUAAACUGGAGGACCUGAAGAAGCUAGAACCAAUCCUAAAGAAUAUUCUUACAUAUAAUAAAGAAUUCCCAUUUGAUAUUCAGCCUGUCCCAUUAAGAAGAAUUUUGGCACCUGGUAAAGAAGAGAAUUUGGAAUUUGAAGAAGAAGAAGAGGGUGGUGCUGGAGCAGGAUCUCCUGAUUCUUUUCCUGCUAGAGUUCCCGAUGCUUUAGAUACCAGGGUUGCCAUUGGAACCAGGAAUGACAUUACUCACUAUCAGAAUUGAGAAAAUUGGUUUGAAAGAUGCUGGGCAGUGCAUCGAUCCCUAUAUUACAGUUAGAGUAAAGGAUCUGAAUGGCAUAGACUUAACUCCUGUGCAAGAUACUCCUGUGGCUUCAAGAAAAGAAGAUACAUAUGUUCAUUUUAAUGUGGACAUUGAGCUCCAGAAGCAUGUUGAAAAAUUAAUCAAAGGUGCAGCUAUCUUCUUUGAAUUCAAACACUACAAGCCUAAAAAAAGGUUUACCAGCACCAAGUGUUUUGCUUUCAUGGAGAUGGAUGAAAUUAAACCUGGGCCAAUUGUAAUAGAACUAUACAAGAAACCCACUGACUUU